rnacentral:rRNA from 1 species
AUUGAACGCUGGCGGCAGGCCUAACACAUGCAAGUCGAGCGAGCGGCGGACGGGUGAGUAAUGUCUGGGAAACUCCCUGAUGUAGGGGGAUAACUACUGGAAACGGUAGCUAAUACCGCAUACCAUCGGAUGUGCCCACAUUGGAUUAGCUCGUAGGUGGGGGAAAGGCUCACCUAGGCGACGAUCCCUAGCUGGUCUGAGAGGAUGACCAGCCACACUGGAACUGAGACACGGUCCAGACUCCUACGGGAGGCAGCAGUGGGGAAUAUUGCACAAUGGGCGCAAGCCUGAUGCAGCCAUGCCGCGUGUAUGAAGAAGGCCUUCGGGUUGUAAAGUACUUGCAGCGGGGAGGCGUUACCCGCAGAAGAAGCACCGGCUAACUCCGUGCCAGCAGCCGCGGUAAUUC